rnacentral:lncRNA from 1 species
GUAUUUGCUGCCUGUGGGUUCUGAGAACCUUUCCAGCGCUUAGUGGAUGGCACUCCUCGCCCCCGCCCUGUGCAGACCCAUUUGAAGAGCACUCCAUCACAGCCAACAAUUAUCUAAAUUGAAGUUGUCCAUCCUGCCUUUUAAGUUCUUCUCCAGAUAAUGAACCUUUUCAACCAACACAGGGUGCUUGAUGUUAAUCACACAGAGAAAUGCAAACUCAAUCUAUUCACCUUCGAAGGAGAUAGAGCCUAAAAGGUCUCAGUGGUUGGGGGUUGAGUUGGAUGGCCCAGCCAAGAGAUGCUCACUUCUGCUGGGGUUUGGAUACCUGUGCUCUCCCUUGGGCCUCUCUGUGAUGCACCAGGAUCCUAAGCCUGUGAGCCGACCCAUCUCUCCCUGUCAUGAUGACCUUCGUGCCUGGAUGGAGCUGAUACAUUGCACCUGCUGGGAACAGGCACAGCUGGGCCUGGGCUGUGAGUACCCAGACCAAAGGCCAACAACAGGCAAAGUGACAGCACCUGCAGCUACUCACCGCUUGCUGUUCUGGGCUCAGCUGGGUGAGGAUCUCCCAGAAGAAGGAGGGAUGAGCAGAGUGGAGAGAGCAACCAAUGAGAGCCCGUAUGUGACUGUGGACCUGCACAUACCUCUCAGAGCUCACCACUGCCUGCCGCAGAGCCAGCUCACCUUGAUGCCCACCUUUGGCACCUACAGCUGUUUCCUCCUGGGGCCCAGACUCGAGACACUGCACUUCCUGCAGCCCCCAAGCCUUUGCCUUCUCUGCAUCAGAUUCUUACCUACCAAAGAUAAAACAGAGGACAGCAAGCAAAACACUUCCUUUUGUUUAUUUUCCCCUUUAUUUCCAAAACCUUAUUCUUACUUGGUCAAACUCCCGUUCCUGACUCAAAGAAAGGAGGGGACUAACUUCUUUUACCAGGGGUAG